GUGCAGCAGUCGCGCAACCUCUGCAAUACGCGAAAGCGUGACAGGGCUACCCCGAGUGCCGUCCGCUGAGGAUGGCUUUUCUCUGGUGUAGUAAGGCGGAGGAAUAAGGAGAGGGCAAGUCUGGUGUCAGCCGCCGCGGUAAUACCAGCUCUCCGAGUGGUAGGGAUGAUUAUUGGGCCUAAAGCGUCCGUAGCCGGCCAAGCAAGUUUCUCGUCAAAUCCAGCGAUUCAAUCGUUGGACUGCGGGAAAUACUGUUAGGCUAGGGGGCGAGAGAGGCCGACGGUAUUCCCGGGGUAGGGGUGAAAUCCCAUAAUCCCGGGAAGACCACCAGUGGCGAAGGCUGUUGGCUAGAACGCGCUCGACAGUGAGGGACGAAAGCUGGGGGAGCGAACCGGAUUAGAUACCCCGGUAGUCC
rnacentral:rRNA from 1 species